rnacentral:rRNA from 1 species
CAGCUUAAUUAGCUAGCCUACCUAACAACCCAAUCAAAUACUUCUACUAACCCCUAAUACACUAAAAAUAUUCAACUAAACCAUUCAUCUUCCCUAGUAUAGGCGAUAGAAAAGGAAUAAAAGAGCAACAGAUAUCAGUACCGCAAGGGAAAGCUGAAAGAGAGGUGAAAAAGUCCAAUAAAGGUAAGAAAAGCAGAGAUUACCCCUCGUACCUUUUGCAUCAUGAUUUAGCUAGCAACAUUAAGCGAAGAGCACUUUAGUUUAAUACCCCGAAACUAGCGUGAGCUACUCCAAGACAGCCUAUUAUAGGGCAAACCCGUCUCUGUGGCAAAAGAGUGGGAAGAGCUUUGAGUAGAAGUGACAGACCUAUCGAACCUAGUUAUAGCUGGUUGCCUGUGAAAUGAAUAGAAGUUCAGCCUCCCAGCUUCUCUCUUCACCUAUUGUACACACAAAACAAUGAUUUAGAGAAACUGUGAGAGUUAGUCAAAGGAGGAACAGCUCCUUUGAAACAAGAUACAACUUUUUUAAUUGGGUAAAGAUCAUAUUAUUUAAAGUAAAAAAUCUCAGUGGGCCUGAAAGCAGCCACCCAAAAGAAAGCGUUAAAGCUCAGAUACACAAAAAACUAUUUAUUUAGAUAAGCCAAUCUUAACCCCUUAGCCUUUAACAGGCCGUUCCAUACUAUUAUGGAAGUGAUUAUGCUAAAAUGAGUAAUAAGAGAGCUUAAGGCUCUCUCCUGGCACAAGUGUAAACCGGAAAGGACUUCCCGCCGGAAAUUAACGUCCCCAAAAAAAGAGGGAAUUGAGUACUUUAGAAAACUACAAGAAGACUACUCAAAAUUAAACCGUUAACCCUACACGGAGUGCUCUUUUAAGGAAAGACUAAAAGAAGGAGAAGGAACUCGGCAAAACAAGCCUCGCCUGUUUACCAAAAACAUCGCCUCUUGCAAAAAUAAAGAAUAAGAGGUCCCACCUGCCCGGUGACACCAAUUUAACGGCCGCGGUAUCCUGACCGUGCGAAGGUAGCGUAAUCAUUUGUCUUUUAAAUGGGGACUUGUAUGAAUGGUAUAACGAGGGCUUAACUGUCUCCUCCCUCUUGUCAAUGAAAUUGAUCUCCCCGUGCAGAAGCGGGGAUACUCUCAUAAGACGAGAAGACCCUAUGGAGCUUUAGAUACUAAGGUAGACCAUAUUCCAUAACCCCUUGUUAAAGGAGUAAAUCUAUGCUAAUCCUACCCCUAUAUCUUCGGUUGGGGCGACAAUGGGGAAAUAAAAAUCCCCCAUGCGGAACGGGAAAAUUUUAUCUAAGAAAUUAUUCUUACCAUAAAGCUACUUCCCCAAAUUAAGAGUGACAGCUCUAAAUUACAGUAUUUCUGACCAUAAAUGAUCCGGCAUUUGCCGAUUAACGGACCAAGUUACCCUAGGGAUAACAGCGCAAUCCCCUUUUAGAGCCCACAUCAACAAGGGGGUUUACGACCUCGAUGUUGGAUCAGGACAUCCUAUUGGUGCAGCCGCUAUUAAGGGUUCGUUUGUUCAACGAUUAAAGUCCUACGUGAUCUGAGUUCAGACCGGAGUAAUCCAGGUCAGUUUCUAUCUAUGUAGUAUUCUUUUCUAGUACGAAAGGACCGAAAAGAAGAGGCCUAUACUUCAAGUACGCCUUAUCCCAAUCUAAUGAAAACAUCUAAAUUAGGUAAAAGGACACAAAACUUCAGCCUUAGAGAAAGGU